CUUAACCGCAGAGAAAAUUCCUGGGGAUAAUCACUUGCUUCCUGGGAUUAAGUGUAAAAGAGCAGAAUUUGAGAAAAAGAGCUUGGAGGUGGGUAUGGAAAGCCGACCAGCGCAGCUCUCCCCACAGUUUGCUUUGGCAUCUGCAUCGGGGUUUAGCUUGAAUGUGCUCGGCUGGAAAACUACCUCUGGUCUUCUGAUGAGCGUGUGUUGGCGAUGCCACUGAGCCCUUCUUCUGCCUUGGGACUACCUGCCAGGAUCCUGCACGAUGAGGAUGCUUCUGAGAGCCGGGCCUUCAUCCCUCAGUGGGGUAUAAUUUCUUUUCUCACCCGAAAUCGUGACCAGCAGCAGGAGACAGUGCGAGACUGCGCAGCCUAAUGAAGCCACCGGUUAACGACCUAGUGAGGAUUUAAACCAGCCCGUUGCUCCAUGGAGACAUCCUUUUCUGUCCCUGGUUAUCCUGCACCCAGGGUUUUCUGGAGAAGUUUAGCGCUUCUUGAUGUUCAGGUGACUGUUUUCGAUAACAAAUGAUGAGCUUUUGGGAUUUCUUUUCAAAGGGAAUUUCAAUGAAUCUCCGUUUCAGACACAAGUGGAUGGCUGCUUGUCCUGGUCCUCUCCACCUCUGGAAGAGAUGUAUUCAAAGAACUGGGUGCUCCAUAGGUAUCUGGUUACGUGUUUUCCUCAAAAAUGUGGUUGGGCAAGGCACGUGGACCUCCUUUGGUAAGAAGGACAGGAGAAACAGCUGAUGCUCCCCGUGCUGGGCCUCCCUACCUAGCAGUCUGGCGCAGAUGUGCCUCUGAAGAGCUUAAUAAUUUGUCCUUAUUAUGUUCUAUGUGUGAUUUAAUGAAAGAAUUUUUAAUGAAAGGCCCUUUCUGUACUGUAAUUGAGCUCUUAAUCUUAUCUGAAAAGCAGAGCACAAUCCCUUCAGAAACAGUGUUUGAGUAACAGCCUAUUUGCAUUUCCUGCGCCAUGGUGUGGCUCACAGGAGCCGCUCGCUCUUUAUUUAAGAGCAAGACAAAAAGCAGAUUUCUUUGAGUCAAAAAUACAUCGGCGAUGCCAUAUGGAGUAUGUUUGAGAAGCAAAGGAUCUCACUUCCCCAACUGAGCAAGCAAGAACUUCCCUGGUCCCCAAAAAAUCAAGAAGUGUGCUUUCCCUUAGCCAGCACCUGAGUCUUCUUGCAGCUUGGUGCUCAGCCAAUGGUACGUGGAGGCGACAGCUGCCAGCAAAAUGAGUUCCUCUGGGCAGGUAAAAGUUGGCAGAAGAUAAAAGUGGAAACUUCAAAACAGGAUGCUGAAAAAACGGUGAGAACGGCAAUGUGUUCAGUGAAAAUCUCUCCAUCCUGAACCUUCAAAAAAACCCCGUUUUUACAAAACUCCACAAAAAUGUCCUGCUUUUGAUCAAGCUGGUCUUCCUAAAUAACCUUUCACAAUCAGAAUUAUAAAUUUCAGAAUGAUAAAUGCAGGGAGUUUAAAAAUGAAGGCUUAGCACAGGAUUUUCCAUGGUGACCUCAGUAAGUUUUUUAAUGUGCCGUAGGUUGGAGGGAGGCCACGAGCUCCCACCCCAGGCUGAUGAGACCCCAUUAAACUAAACACCGACGGACACUCCCAAACCCUAGUGUUGGAUUGGCCCAAACCCCAAAUCUGGAUGGGACUACGUGAUGCAAUUAGCACUAGAAAAUACUCAAAGCUUGAUGGUGGUUCAUAAUUCCCACCCCAAAAACCAUGGGCAAUGCAAAUAGUGACCGGUUUGCUGCCUGCUCUGCGCAGAGCUGAUGGUCAUGAGCGGUAGAGCCUUGGGAUGAAUCGGCUCCUGAUUUGUUGGGGCACAGAAAAACCUGCAUCUCUACUGCUUUGGUCUACAGAGCCGAGUGCGCUUUACUAGAACAAAUAUCUGGAGUAGCAAGGAUGAAGAAUCAAGCCUUCCCCUGCCACUGGCUACCGGAGGCUAUGGUGGUGCUACGGUGGCUGCGUUGAUGCUGUGCUCGUUGCAAACACACGAGUAACAUCUUAUACAACUCCAUGAAGUCAACGCAGAGGCUUCCAGGCGGAGCUCAGGUCAGCUGUGUCAUUUACCAGGUGAGGGAGGAUUAGACUCCACACCACACUUCCGCAGAUGGACAAGUGGAUUGAGUUGUAUCCAUCAACAAGGUGAGAAAUGUGUCAUGUUUUGUCUGGCCCUGCACAGUGGCUAUCCUAACUUAAAGUGGCGCUGUCUUCUCAGCUUCUGCUUCUUCCUCCGCCUCCUUGCGCUGAUGCACGCCUCUAGUGAGAGGACACAUCCAUUUCAGUCCUGUCACUUCAUCUCUGCCACCCGUGCUUCCCUUUGUACUAAUCCACUCAUCCCUGAGAAGACCUCCACUACUGGAGUAAUUGGCACUGGUGCCUCAGCCUUUGAUGUGAUGAGCAGUGGAUUUUUUGCACUCAACAUGUCAAUUUAAACUGCUGCAAAUAAAAGAUCAAUUCCUUCUUUCCUGGAGAAGAAAUUAAGGAAAAACCUUUUUAUGUUAUGAACUGAGUGUAGAAGGCUGAAAAGGGUGAAGGUGGAGAUGAGGUUGUCUCCUGAGAGAAGUCAAUUUGUCAAUUUAGCAAAUUAGAGAGAAUAUGCUUGCACCUUUUAAGUAGUCGGGUACCAAAAUAAUGUCACCGAGUAGGCAAGGCUGGGGUGGGAGUCCCUUACAUCGCUACGGAUUUUGUCAGAUCUAUUCACACAGGAGCCCAUUUGCUGAUGCCAGCCCCACGAAGCAGGGCCCAGGGACAUGGCCGGACAAGGACAAUUUCUCUGCCUGAUUUUCCAGCAUGUCGUUACAAGGGUUUUUGAUAGGGUUCUCCGUUCCCUUUGCAUCCCUGUGGACGGCGUCCUUGAUGAGACCAUCCUGCCACACGCUUACUGCCUGUGUGGUGGCACCAAUGUGGUUUUCAGGACGCACCGGUGCCUGCGAGGGCUCAGUCCCCUUUCCUUCAAAGCUGUGACAGGUAUUGGGAAUCUGGUGAAUUAUUCAGCAGCACCAAGGGCCCCGCAAGGGAAUAAUUAGUGGCUGUGGUUAUGUAAAGCGAAAGUGGAGGAUUUCAUGUGUUUUGGCAGAGGAGCGGGUGCUGCUGCAGAAGCUCUGAUGCAGAGUGCUGCACCUGGGGACGCCGUGGAGAGGGGGAGGAGGUCCCCUAUGGCACCUCGGUCCCACCUGGCAGAGCUUCUCAUCAAAAAUCAGCCCAGACCCCAUCCCCUCUCAAUGCAAAGAACUGUUCUUUGUGUUUUCUGCCAGAAAGAGGAGGAAAUGGCGGGGGGCAGGAGGGGAACCCCAACCAAGCAGUGCUUGAAGGCAAGUGGUCAAUUACUCAGGGAUGCUGUGUAGGGGGCUGGAGGCAGCCCCCUGUCCACGCUCAUGGGUGCUCACGCAGCUUGUGCCACCCGGUGAGUCCCUUCCGCAACCGCUAACGCUCUCCUGAUUAUAUUUCAUUAAUUAGCGGCAGGUUGAGAUUCUGCAAUCAGAAUUGUGCCGGUGGAGGAACACGAAACAGCAUGUUCUCUUGGUGUUGGAGCUCCUCUAACGGUACCCGCGACUACAUUCGCCAAGGUAACGGUGGCGGGGGGGGACGAUGACUCAGAAGAUGCGCAGGCAGCAGCUGCCAGCACGGUGCCGGCUCCACGGAGGCUGAGCGCUCGGACUUGGUGCUCCCAAGCACGGGCCUCCUGUCCCUGCAGCGCCUUUCCAUCCAGGAAUGGUGGAGAAAAGGGUGACGAGUCCCCAGGGAUUGUGAUGCCAAGAGGUGGUGAGAUGAAUUUCCCCCAUCAGCCCUUUCUCGCUGUGUUAUUUCCUCCCCUUGCGAGAUGAUGCGCUGGGAUGUUUUCUCCUUCCUGCUCCUUCACCAUUGCACUCUGGAAACCUGAACCUAAGAAACACGCCCGGGGUUUUGUUCUUUUUAUUGACUCUGACCUGUACAUCGGGAAGGCCUCUCUAGUUUUCAGUGAAAUUAUAUAUGAAUAUAUGAAAUUUUGAGACUUUUUCUGUUUUUUGGCCCUGGUUUUGUGACUCAGCGGCCACGCGCCUAAUUUAAAAAAUGCGGUCAGUCCUGCCACCCCCUCGGGAGCUGCUCAGAUAACUGAAGUUGAGCCGGUUUGUAUCAUCCAGUGGGGACGGCAGGUGGGAGCUCUCUAAGCCAGACAAAGGAGACCUGAGAAGGAACUGUGGUGAAGGGACAAGCCCAAGGCAAAGAAGUGGCCGGUCGCCUCCUCUGCUGGAGCAGGCAGCUGGGACCUGGAGAAACAGGAGACAUUUUGCGAGACUCGACACCUGGAGCAGUGCUAACCAGGUGGGCAGCCCCGAUGUCGGCCAAGCUCUACGUCCUCAUCAGCUGGCCCGACGGCAGCCGGGUGAUCAACAUCGAGAACAUCAAGGAGCCCCGCAAGCCUUUCCACCUCUACGUGGUGGGCGAGCAGGUGCUGGCCCGCUGUCCUGGCUUCAGUGGGCUCUACUGGGGGAUGGUGGAAGGCAUAAGCGAGCAUAAAGAUAUUUUAGAGAAGAAGCUGCUGGAAGACAGACAGCUCCUGGAGAAGUUAAAAGAAGAACCGGCCGUGCACAGCAUGAUGCCACCCCAGCCAAAAAAAUCCAGGAAAACCUUCCCAAAAUGGGCCCCGGGGAACGCAUCUAGGAAAUACCACGGUGACAGGACUUACCCUGCCAAGCCGCUGCUGAGGGCGGCCGAGGCCAGCCUGCCCCGUGACGCUGGCAGCUCCUCCAUCAUCAAGGACAGACGUGCCCUGGGCAACGCGGCUGGAAGCCCGCGCUCGCUGACGGGGCCCCCCCAUCCAGCCAGCGCCUUCACACCCCCAUCCACGUUUGUCACCAUGGCCAUGCCGGGGACUUCCCAGGGUGAAGAGGACAGGGCUGGUCCAGCAACUAGAGAUUAUGUUGCCCUGGCGAUGAAGAGGAAGUCAGAUGGCAUCUUGUCCCAAUGCCAGCAACGCAUCUGUCUGAACAGCUGUGAAGAGCGAAAGCUUGAUGCUUUGCAAGAGACGGACGAAUUUGAGAGAGUUCAGAAAAAUUUUGGUCCUGGUGAAAUGGAAAGGGCAGAGAAGAUAGAGCAGCUGGAGAGGAUGGUGUUGGACCUCCAACAGGAUGUCCUCUCUCUGAAGAAGAAGGUGCAGAGGCUGGAAUCCCUGUCCUUCCAGGAGGAGCUCCACCGACAGCCCUGCGAGGUGGUGGAGCUCUUCAACGGCUACACCAAAGAACAGCUCAAAGAGACCAUCCGGUUUGACCAGAAAAUCAGCACUGCCUGCAAGACACUGCUCUACAAGCUCUUCACAUCUGACUACAUCCAGAGCCACUCCAUCACGGGGCGGAGGGGCAAUACUUUCCGAGAAGCGAAGCCCAUGAUGGAUGAACGUUGCAUCAAAAUCAUUAGGGUGCUGUUGAAACAGAAGUUUGGAGAUCACCUCAGUGACACAGUGAUCACGGAGAAGAUACAAAAUGUGCAGAAAGCCCUGAGGCAGAAGUUUAAGACGGAAUGUCUCUGAUGCGUUAUGGACUUUGGUGUCUCUUUCUACUGCGCUCAUCGGUGUACCUCAGCAGCCCUUCCAAAAAAGACGAGUCCGAUCUGCUGCUGUUCAGCUGUUUUCCCCCCAAGGAGCCAACCCAAGCGAACCACACGCUAAACAACACAAACCUUUCCCUGCCAAACCUCUGCCUGCAUUAAUCGAGCGGGAAGUUUGCCCAGCUUGGCUAGGCUUUUGCACAUCUGCUAGCACUUUACAAGUUCCUUUCCAUCCAGUCUCGGUGCAAACCUCACUGCAGGGUGCAUGUAAUGAUCUCCAGGCCUUUUUGAUGGACAUGCUCAAAAGCUUGAAGGUUCCCUUUGCUUCCAGUGCAAAUGCUUUUCCUAACGCUCUAUUAUGCAAACAUGCCAGCGAUGAUUUCUCGUUUGUAUGGACCUUGACUUGAGCAGCAGCUGGAGCGGGUCUGCAGGGAUCGCUGAGAGCCAGGCAUGCAGCCAGUCCUUGAAAAUAUGCUCCAACUGAGCAGAACUGCCCCAGAUGCAGAAACACCCCUUAAAAUACAGCUGCUUGCCAGAAACGCGUCACCUUCCCGCUGCGGGCAAGACCUUGGGUUGGUAUCGCUGCUCAGGGAAACACCCCAGGAGAUGCUUUUAAUGAUGACUUCUCAAAGAGAUGAUUGAAGAGGCGCAAAUAGCCUUAUUCUGCAGGGCCUUGCUUUGACAUCAGCCCUUGGGGCUUUCGCACACCUUCCCUACAGAUUCUGCUUCUCGUUUCCCCAGCCACAUCGCAGCCAGGAGGGGAGGAGAGGACGGGUUCCUCAGACCCACCCCAGUGAGGGACCACCAUCACCUCCUGCGUGACCAGGGCUCAGUCCAAACCAUUUCCCUGGGCGCUUAUUUUCGCCUUAAUCUUCCCUCCCGGUGCUUCAUCAGAUCCCUCGCCAAGCUGCAGCCCCGAAAGCCAGCUCACAAAUGUUAUUUAUUAAAAUAUGUGCUGCUGCUGUCCUCCCCCGCUGAGCCCCCUCCGAUGAGCUGCAGAUCAUUACUGCAAAAGGAGGGAGAAAAAAGACAGAGGGGACGGACAUGCUGCGGGGAGCGACGCGUCCGGAAACCAGUUGUCUCUAAUCAACUCCUCUGGAAGCCGAUGAGCCGGGUGACCUCGCUGCUCUGAAAAGCCCUUUGGUGGCUCCCUCGGAGGUAAACUUCACAGCCUAACACGCUUGCCCAUACUCAGGGAGCGUUCCCGGGAAGCGGGGUCAGUGGCGUGGGCUGGUGGGUGCUCCCCGGCUCCGUGCACAGCACAGCCAUGGCACUAACGAGGCGAUGCUCAAACGGGCCAUUCUCGGCGAUGAAAGUUGUCCUUAGCUACUCUCAAAGGCUUUGAUACAGCGGAGAGGGCUGAAGAAAGGCAACGCGGGCGGCUUUUCGUUAAACUUCGUUUUUAAGGUAUUUGUGAACCGGAGGCAGCGUUUCGAGGCUAAUUGGGAGCACUCGCAGACGCCGACGAUCAAACGUUGCUGUGAGGAUGCUGAUGCUCUCGCCUCCCUGAACUCCAGCUCCGGCUAAUCAGCCUCAAGAGGGAAGAUCACACAGCGCUGAGAUGCGGCAUCCCUUCGGGGAUGAAGGGGUCAGGGAAGAUCGAGGAGGAGGAGGAGGGUUUGUGCCAGAAUGACUUCACUUGGCGAUGUUCAAAGCUUCUGUCUCUCUCAAAGUGAUGAAGGGCAGCUCCACUGAAUUGCGUUAACCUCCCACUUUAAAAGAAUUACUGGGAGAAGCCGGACAGGUCUUUCUGUGGAGAUGAAUCGCUCAGCUGAAUCUGCAGCAUCUUAUUGAAAACAAUGCUCCUGUUCAGCUUCUGGGCCCUCUGGGUGCAGGAGGACAUGAGCAGUGAAAACUAGGGUCAAAACUCAGGGUGGUCUUCAAGGAAAUUCAAAAAGGUUCAAAAGCAAGCAGAAAUGGGACUUGUCAACUUUUGCAAAUGUAAGACAGGCCAGAAACAUCCAGUCCUCCCUCCUUUCAGCAGGAACCACAGCAGCGAUGCCGUUCUCAGUGGUUUGCCUGAUUGAAGCAUGGACCUUACAGGGUUCUGAGGGUCCUUGGUCCCCCAGCGCCCCAAAACGCUGCAAUGGGUCGCUGCCACCCACCGCAGGGUUACACCUCCUUUCCAUGGGAACCGGCUGAAAGCACUGCGUGGCUCGCGGGCAGCAGUGCUGCCAGCAAAAGACAGGUUUUCAGGGAAAAACGGGAGCCUUCCCAGCCUGCUGCGUUAUCAACUUUUACGCUUCAGCUGGGCCACGGCACGAGGCUUCUGCGAUUGCUGGUUGCAGAGGUGCUGCUGGCGGGAUGGCUGACUUCACGCGUGGGGAGAAAACAGCCAAAACAAGAGGGAAAUUCUCUGGUGUUUAACCCUAUUUAUUUCAAUUUUACCUCCUUGACUCUGCCAGGGAGAUUCCAGCAUCCAGCACAAGGAGAUUUUAAUUUGCCCAUUUUUUUCUUGGCUGAUAAGAAACACACACCUCUAAGCCUCUGGAUGUCUGCACCGUGUGCAUCCCCUGGAAACUGUGAUGUUAGUUUAAUGACAACACGCAAAUGUGCGCACGAUUAAAGGAAUAAUGUUAAAAUGUAACUAAAUCCCUUCUUGGGUUUUAAUCAAGGUUUACAAAGCCUGGCUGGCUUUACGUGGGUCCCAGGCAGCCGCUGCAGAGGCCGCCCGGUGCUCCGAGCUUGCUCGAUGCGCUUGGAAAAGUCUUCUGAGGCAGAAUUAGUGGCUCAGUGGGUGGUGGAAGUGUCUUGCGCUCUUCAUCUGGUUUGAGAUCCUCCAUCUCCCAGCUGGAGGAACGGGGAUGCAACAUAUAGAUGUAUCAGCUGGGGUGGUAAUGAAAUAUUUAAAGGACAAGCCUUGGUCUGUAUGAGCUUGAAGCUGUGCGCCAGCUCCUACUGGCAUCCAACACGCAAAUACUCAGUGUCAUGAGAAGAUAUUUUGUUGUUGUUGUUCUGGAUGCCAAUGCAAGGUCUGAUUUUCAUUGCUGAAGUCAGUGUGAGUUUUGCUCACUACCUCCAACCAUCGGAAGUCCAGAUCGAAGGAAAAAAAUAGUUAUCAGAACUCAGCAGGAUUCAAUUUUCAGUCCCCGGAUUUCAAUUUGCCAACAACAAUCCAUAGGAAAAAUGCAAAUAUGAUUUUUCCCGCAGACAGAAAUGAGAGAGGGUGCUGAGAGCUCUCGUGUUAUUUGAUCGCUUUAAAGCCUUGCCUGCAGAAAGCGAGUUGGUGAAAUUCUGCUUGAAAUGUGCUGGCUGCGUUUACAGGCAAGGAGAUGAGAUGAGUAAACGUUCCUCAGCUUGGAAUAGCCUCCCCCAGACCUUCAUGGUUAUCCAUUUAAACGCAAGGGCGAGAUGGUUUUUUUUCUGGCUCGUCUGUGAAUUCACCCUGUGUACUUGUUUAGCGAUCCACUUCACCGCGGAAAAAAGAAUCAAAGAGGUUUCAGCUCUUUCCCCCACCCCAGCCUUUUCUGUCUUGUAAUGUUAAUGAGUGAUA